CCCCCGAUGGUGUAGUUGGUUCAUCACGUUCGACUGUAAUAUCUUAUUGUAAUCGAAAGGUCACCGGCUCGAUUCCGGUUCGGGGGA